CCUACGGGCGGCAGCAGUGGGGAAUAUUGCACAAUGGGGGAAACCCUGAUGCAGCGACGCCGCGUGAGUGAAGAAGUAUUUCGGUAUGUAAAGCUCUAUCAGCAGGGAAGAAAAUGACUGUACCUGACUAAGAAGCCCCGGCUAACUACGUGCCAGCAGCCGCGGUAAUACGUAGGGGGCAAGCGUUAUCCGGAUUUACUGGGCGUAAAGGGAGCGUAGUCGGAGGAACAAGUCAGAAGUGAAAACCCGGGGCUCAACCGUGGGAGUGCUUUUGAAACUGUUUGGCUGGAGUUCAGGAGAGGUAGGCGGAAUUCCUAGUGUAGCGGUGAAAUGCGUAGAUAUUAGGAAGAACACCAGUGGCGAAGGCAGCUUACUGGACUGUAACUGACGUUGAGGCUCGAAAGCGUGGGGAGCAAACAGGAUUAGAUACCCCGGUAGUC
rnacentral:rRNA from 1 species